UAAAUUAAACAUUAGAUUUUACAGAAUAAAAGGUGAAGACAAUUUUCGAAAGUCAUUAGUUACUUCCCUUCCUUAAGAAAGUGUCUACUUCUAACGCAAAUUUUUUAAAAAUGUUCGCAUUCAAAUUGAUGUUCGUUGUUCUAUUCGCAAUGAUUGUUCUUUCGACAAGUGAUGAAAUACUAAAUCGUGAUUUAGAUCGUAGCAUCACUCGUGAUAUUUUAAACGGCGACUGUAAAUGUUAUGAAAACGGCAUAGAAGUUAAAGUCAAUUUGUUAAACCAAGAUUCUAAAUGUAAGGAUAAGAAUGGAGUGGAAAUUGACUUGACAGUUUGUCCCAAUCUAUGAGCCGUCAACAAUUUUUGGAGAUAAGUGCAAAAACAUGUCUACCAGAAUUAUAUGGAUUAUUUUUUGGCCUGAUACUUUUUAUGUGUUGACUUUGUUUUGAAUAAAAUUCUACUAACAGUUA